GCAGGUCGUGCGUCAGAGUCAAACCAACUUCUCUUCUCUGCCUCCUCUCGUUCCUCUCCCGCGCGUUCUCAGACAGAUUCGCCCAUACCACUUCUCUUUCUCCUCUCCCUCCUCUCCCCGUGCGUCAGAGUCAAACACCUCUCUCUCUCUCUCUCUCUCUCUCUCUCUCUCUCUCAUCAAAUCUUUUCGUAGAUCUGAAACCCUAGCGACCUUCAUUCGCCGCUUCGCGCGCAGAUCUUCUUUCCCCCGCACCAUCACCGUCUGCAGCCCUUCAUGUCCACCUGAGAUGGGCAGAUUCUCCAUCAUCAUAUACAUCACGGUAGCCCUGCUUCUCCUCCUGCUCGUCUCCCGUUCCCCCCAGAAAUCCUCUCACCACGGACGCCACCACCACCGCCGCCUCAAGCUCCGUUCCAACUUCACCUUCAAGGCGGAUCCGGCCCAAUACCACCACGAGCCUGUGCCUUUUGACCCCCUCGUGGCGGAGCUCGAGCGUCACCGUGAGAACAAGCACUGGGAGAGGCAAUACUUUGAGCAUUCUCACCCUGAGUUCGUCCAUUCCGCGGAUUCGGCCCCCGGCGAAGAGUCGCAGCCUGAAUGGGAGGAGUUCAUGGAUGCGGAAGAUUACUUGAACGACGAGGAGAAGUUCAAUAUCACCAAUAGGUUGGUGUUGCUAUUUCCGAAGAUCGAUGUAGAUCCAGCAGAUGGGUUUGUGACUGAGAAUGAAUUAACUGAAUGGAACUUGCAGCAAGCUGAGAGGGAGGUGAUGCAUAGAACUCAGAGGGAGAUGGAGCUCCAUGACAAGAAUCGAGAUGGACAUGUUUCGUUUGCAGAGUAUGAGCCUCCCGGUUGGGUUCAGAAUUCAGAUAAUGAUACUUUUGGGUAUGAUAUGGGCUGGUGGAAAGAGGAACAUUUCAAUGCCUCAGAUGCUGAUGGAGAUGGUCUGCUAAAUAUAGCUGAGUUUAAUGAUUUUCUGCACCCAGCAGACAGCAAAAAUCAAAAGCUUCUGCAGUGGUUGUGCAAAGAGGAAGUAAGGGAAAGAGAUUCAGAUAAAGAUGGGAAGGUCAACUUCAAAGAAUUCUUUCAUGGGCUCUUUGACUUGGUUAGGAACUAUGAUGAGGAAAACCAAAAUUCCUCUGAUUCCGAUGAUUCAACAGAGGCUCCAGCUACAGAGGCUCCAGCCAAAAUAUUGUUUUCUCAGCUUGAAAAAGAUGGUGAUGGAUACUUGACAGAUGACGAACUGCUACCUAUCAUCGGGAAACUUCAUCCGUCUGAACGAUAUUAUGCGAAACAGCAAGCAGAUUACGUCAUAUCACAGGCGGAUAGCAAUAAAGAUGGCCGACUAACGUUGACAGAGAUGAUUGAGAAUCCAUAUGUGUUUUACAGUGCUGUUUUCAAUGACGAAGAUGAGGAGUAUGACUACCAUGAUGAGUUCCGUUAAUUUUAGUAGCUGAUGUAACUGAUAGCAUUGCAUUUGGCUAUACUUUCCACUCCCCUCUUAGAGAGAGUCUGCGACAAUUUGAAGUUCAUUCCAAACAUGGGUAUCGGUCAAUUGUUCCACUUACAGAGAGAGUGAUGUUAUAGUGCGAGGUUUUAUGGAAGUCUUGAAGUUGGAAUUAAUGUUUGUUCUCGUGUUUAUUCUGUUCUGGGCAUUCUACCGCGAUGGAUACAAGUGGUUAGAAAAUGAUAUGGGUUUGUAUUUCCACUCACGUGAACUCUGGUUUGUGCUAAGCCCCUACCUCUUUUGAAUUCCCCAUAUUUGCCACCAAGAAUUUAGUUAGUCACUGGGGAAUUCUUCUCUCAGUGUGAACAUGUGGAUUCUGUGUGGACCUUGGAUGCCCGAGGUUGUGGCCGAUUGGGCCAUGGAGAUACCAUGUUAACGCCCAGUGGGGCUCCAACAUUUUUAUACCUAUUGGGCAUUGGUGACAUCUCCCAUCUUUUUGCCUGC